AAACGACUCUCGGCAACGGAUAUCUCGGCUCACGCAGUCAUGAAGAACGUAGCAAAAUGCGAUACUUGGUGUGAAUUGCAGAAUCCCGUGAACCAUCGAGUUUUUGAACGCAAGUUGCGCCCGAAGCCUUUUGGCCGAGGGCACGUCUGCCUGGGCGUCACGUGUCAC
rnacentral:rRNA from 1 species